AUGUCCACUUUGAACCGGCCCACCUCUGUUAGGGCUAAAAUCGGCUGUAGAUUUGUGGAUCAGCUUCCUGCCACGGCCGAGGGGAUGUUAGGGGGACGUUUUUACAAGUUCACUUAUGAGAUUGAAGAGGUUUUGGUAAGGAACCCUGUGGAGGAAGGCAAAGGGACGGCUGUGCAAAAUGACAAUGUUAACAAAACUGAUCAAACGCCCAAACGCAAAAGGGCUGAUCACGAA
rnacentral:rRNA from 1 species